GGGGGGGGGGGGGGGGGCAGAGCAUAUUGGAGCGCAGGAGAACGGAGUGGGUUGCACAUCGACGAGAGGAUUCUUUCGCUCUUGGAUUUUGGCGCUCAAAUCAGAGGGAGAAGAGUGAAAACUUGAGCUGCCCUGGACCCAUCAAGAACCACUGAGGCGAGACAGAUUCUGAAACCGGAAGCAGAGCAGCGGUCGAGUGUCUCUCUCUCUCUGUGUGAGUGUCUCUCUCAGCCCACAUGUGCAAGGAGGGAAAAAAGGAACAAGGAAGUCACAAGCGAGCCCUGCUGGGAGGCGGGUCCUCAGGCUAUGCGGGAGCAACACCGCAACCCCCCCCCCCCCCCCCCCCAGCCCCCCACCCCCUGCCUCUAUCAUCAUCAGCAUCGUCAUCAUCAGUAUGCAGGGCCGGUCGGCCAGGUUACUGCUGGAGUCCGCAGUAACAGCUCGUCCGGAGAGCCAUAAAGCAGGUAAAGAAAAUACAUCAAGCCCCAUGCAGCGAGCCCUCCAGGGGAGAGGAACCCUCUGACCCUCCCCACCACUCACUCACACAGCGCUCAUACCCUCACCAAUACACAUGGAGAUAGAUGGUGUUUAUGCAUGGUUGGUUUAUGUUCUACUAUAGCCAUAGUUUAAUUUAUCAUCUAUUUAUUAUUACGUACUGGUUCUUUUCGUAACUUUUUUUAGGAUUGUUUAUAUCAUGAGGGUUUCAUUGUGUGUUUUCUUAAUGUGUUGUAUGUAUUAAAACUUAAUAAAAUCGUUUUGAUAUGGUGGAA